rnacentral:rRNA from 1 species
GAUGAACGCUAGCUACAGGCUUAACACAUGCGAGUCGAGGGGCAGCAUGAUUGAAGCUUGCUUCAAUCGAUGGCGACCGGCGCACGGGUGAGUAACACGUAUCCAACCUGCCGAUAACUCGGGGAUAGCCUUUCGAAAGAAAGAUUAAUACCCGAUAGUAUAGUAUUUCCGCAUGGUUUCACUAUUAAAGAACUUCGGUUAUCGAUGGGGAUGCGUUCCAUUAGAUAGUUGGCGGGGUAACGGCCCACCAAGUCAACGAUGGAUAGGGGUUCUGAGAGGAAGGUCCCCCACAUUGGAACUGAGACACGGUCCAAACGCCUACGGGAGGCAGCAGUGAGGAAUAUUGGUCAAUGGACGAGAGUCUGAACCAGCCAAGUAGCGUGAAGGAUGACUGCCCUAUGGGUGGUAAACUUCUUUUAUACGGGAAUAAAGUGGAGUAGGCAUACUCCUUUGUAUGUACCGUAUGAAUAAGGAUCGGCUAACUCCGUG